rnacentral:rRNA from 1 species
UCCGCAGGUGGUUAAUUAAGUCUCUCGUCAAAUCUUCAGGCUCAACCUGGAGGCUGCGAGGGAUACUGGUUGACUAGAGGGUGGGAGAGGUAAGCAGAAUUGCUGGUGUAGUAGUAAAAUGCGUUAAUAUCAGCAAGAAUACCAAAGGCGAAGGCAGCUUACUGGAACAUACCUGACACUCAUGGACGAAAGCGUGGGGAGCGAAGC